rnacentral:SRP_RNA from 2 species
GCUGGGCAUGGUGGCGCGUGCCUGUAGUCCCAGCUACUUGGGAAGCUGAGGCAGAAGAGUUGCUUGAAUCCAGGAGGUGGCGGUUGCAGUGAGCUGAGAUCGUGCCACUGCACUCCAGCCUGGGCGACAGAGCAAGACUCUGUCUCAA